rnacentral:tRNA from 1 species
AAGGGAGACCUAAUUCCAGUAGGAGGCGAAAAAAAAGUAGUCCCUACCAAGAAUCAAUCCCAAAAGGUCGGAGCGAGGCAAAAUUGGCUUUCAAACUAGGUUCUGGGUUCACACAAGACCUGAAUCAGGAACAAGGGCUAUUAGCUCAGGUGGUUAGAGCGCACCCCUGAUAAGGGUGAGGUCCCUGGUUCGAGUCCAGGAUGGCCCACCUGCACAGGUGGAAGAAAGAAAAGAAGCUCCGAAUCAGCACCUUAUCUUACUUAUAUAGUAAGAGAGAAUGCUGGCUCUGAGUACAGAGUCCAGAGGAACCUUGAAAACUGCAUAGAGCUAGGUGAAAAAGCCAAAAAAGAAGACCGCAAGGUCAAGCUAAUAAGGGCUAACGGUGGAUACCUAGGCAC